AUAAAUAAAAUUAUAAAAGUGGUUGAGAUAUUAAAAAAUCAAUAAAUAAAAAUAAAUAUCAAAAAUAAUUAAAAAAAAAAAUGUUUCACAAUACAAUAAAAAUAAAAUAAAUAUUAAAAAUACAAAAUAACGAUUUGAGAAGAAAAUAAAGAUUUUAAAGUAAAAAUAGUAAAUUCAAUAGAAAAAUCUCAUGAAUCUGUUUUGCUAAAGCGCGCAUCCAAAAAUAGUUGCCAAAAUUGUUUUGCUUAUGAAUUAUUGAUUGUUUAUUAAAUAUUAUUAGUUUUUACAUCUUCUUUUUUUUUAUUAUUAUUGUAAAUGAGUAGUAGCCGUUGCUAAUAAAAAAAUGAAUAUUGUAUCGAAUUAAAAAUAACUGCCCUAUAAACCAAUUAUGAAAAUAAUUAUACCGCCAUAAUUCUAAUUAAAUUUUGAAAAAAUGGUUUUGUUUUUGGU